GACGAACGCUGGCGGCGUGCUUAACACAUGCAAGUCGAACGAAGAGCGACGGAAGCUUGCUUCUAUCAAUCUUAGUGGCGAACGGGUGAGUAACGCGUAAUCAACCUGCCCUUCAGAGGGGGACAACAGUUGGAAACGACUGCUAAUACCGCAUACGAUCUAACCUCGGCAUCGAGGAUAGAUGAAAGGUGGCCUCUACAUGUAAGCUAUCACUGAAGGAGGGGAUUGCGUCUGAUUAGCUAGUUGGAGGGGUAACGGCCCACCAAGGCGAUGAUCAGUAGCCGGUCUGAGAGGAUGAACGGCCACAUUGGGGCUGAGACACGGCCCAGACUCCUACGGGAGGCAGCAGUGGGGAAUCUUCCGCAAUGGACGAAAGUCUGACGGAGCAACGCCGCGUGAGUGAUGACGGCCUUCGGGUUGUAAAGCUCUGUUAAUCGGGACGAAAGGCCUUCUUGCGAAUAGUGAGAAGGAUUGACGGUACCGGAAUAGAAAGCCACGGCUAACUACGUG
rnacentral:rRNA from 1 species